UUCUACGGAUUAUCGGGGGUUGUUUUACCCCAGAUGGUCAUAGAGUAGCUGCAUACAUCACCUCGAAAUUUAAAGAGCGAUUUAGUCCCGCUGGUACUACAUGGAAGCGGGUAGACCCAGAUAUGAAGCAAUUUUAUUACGAUGAGUUUUUGAAAAGAUAUACUUGGGAGACAGAGCACGAGGCAGAAUUUUAUGCUACCUGGAACGCAGCUUGUGCCAAACUAUACAAAGACAUGCUAUAUAAA